rnacentral:rRNA from 1 species
CCUACGUGCGGCAGCAGUGAGGCAUAUUGGUCAAUGGACGAGAGUCUGAACCAGCCAAGUAGCGUGAAGGAUGACUGCCCUAUGGGUUGUACACUUCUUUUAUAUGGGAAUAAAAUGUUCCACGUGUGGGAUUUUGUAUGUACCAUAUGAAUAAGGAUCGGCUAACUCCGUGCCAGCAGCCGCGGUAAUACUGAGGAUCCGAGCGUUAUCCGGAUUUAUUGGGUUUAAAGGGUGCGUAGGCGGCCUGUUAAGUCAGCGGGAAAAGCCCGGGGCUCAACCCCGGCGAGCUGUUGAAACUGGCUGUCUUGAGAUUUCGAGAGGUAUGCGGAAGGCGCAGUGUAGCGGUGAAAUGCUUAGAUAUUGCGCAGAACGCCGAUUGCGAAGGCAGCAUACCGGCGGCGAUCUGACGCUGAGGCACGAAAGCGUGGGUAUCGAACAGGAUUAGAUACCCCUGUAGUC